UUUUUUUUUUUUUUUUUUUUUACUUUCUUAGCAAGACUUGAAAAAUAUGUGUAGCGUGGGCCCAAUUUGUAUCUUAUCUCUUCCUUCAGCCGGAGUUGUUGGAACCACUUUAUAGUCAAGAUGAAAGCAUUGAAUUUCGCUUCAAAGGACUGACUGCACAUGUGCAGAAGAAACCCUGCAGGACCCUAUUAGGAGCAGAUGGUGGCCAGCCAACCAGUCCGUCAGGGAGGCAAAAAGGCUCAGUCCCAUCAUUGCCAAAAAAGAAAAAAAAAAAAAUAAUAAUAAACGAGCCAACCUGAAGGAAGGGUCAAGGGCUCCAGGCGGCACCCAGUUUCUGAGGGUUGCCCUGAUCAAAGGCAAUGACUGGGGAUGAGGGGGGGACGGGUGGUUGUUGGCUUGGCUUUGGCAAGCUUGGUCUCUUGACUUACCCCUGGGCAGGUAGCUUUCUUCUGUAGGUGCUUUGCCAAAUUUUCAAGGGGACAUGUCUAGUGAAGCCUGAAGGGGCUGCCCUGAGUGGAGGGAGCAUUAUGGCCAAAGUGGCCCCUGUGCACAGGCCCAGUGGAGUGUGCUGAGCUGCUACACUGAGCUUAGCAGAGUGGAGCGUGGGAGGGCGUCUUAGAGCCUGGUUGAGAGGUUGGAGGAGUGCUUCCCUCUGUCUUCCUUCCAGUGAGCCUUUCCUCGGAGACGGUGAGGGCAUCCUUAUCCAUCGCAGCUCUUCCCGAAUCUCAGUGCCAUGGAGAUAUUGUCCUCGGAUAGGACCAGGCACAGCCCUUUGCCAUUCUUGUUGUCCCCCUGCUUUCAGCAGACAACUCAGAACAGGAGCUGUCACUUUCCUUUGUUAGAGUGUGUGUGUGUGUGUGUGUGCGUGCGCGCGUGUAUGUUUAUGUUGUUUGGUUGUACUGGUGGCUUUUAAUUUUCAGCCCCCAAAUCUGAACUCCACUGCCUCCACUCUGUUAAGCCAGAUGCUUAGCUGCCCUGGAGCCUCAUCAAUUGUAAAUCCUCCCUUUUGUCACUCUGAGGGUCUCGUGACCCCUCUCUUCCCCAUCCUUCAGUGGCCACAUCUUCUCUGGGGAAUUUGCAUCCUGAGUCCCAAGAGAGAGCCCCUUGGCAAAAGGUACCCAGGAUUGUGGAAGUAAAUUUAAGGAGUGAUUUCUGCAAAGCCUUGUCCUGAGAAUAAACAGACAACACAAAGGCUGCAGGACUUCCAGGUCAUUGGGCCAGGCUGUUAUGGAUCCUUCCGAGGAGUCUGCUAGGUGUGGGCCGUGUGCUGAGCAGAGAGGGCAGGAGGCAAGAUGCAGCCUGACAAUCCUUCCUGGCCCUCUUGUUCUCUGAGAAGUGUCCAGGCAGCGCCACCUUAAUCCUCCUGUGCCUGCCCUGCUGAUUCUCAUUUUUGCUGCACGAACACAUCAGAGGGACCAAAUUGGCUCAGUCACGAAGAAAGAAUGUCUUUUGUUCUGUUCCUUCGAUUCAUGGGUGUGGGCUCUUGGUGGGUAGUUGCUGACUCCUGAGUUUUAGGCUGAGUCAAUGAGGGAAGAUUGACGCCAGAGGGCUGGCCUGGAUUAAGAUUUCAGAUCAGCUCUGUAGCAGCAGAAGACUCAAGUAAAUAUGCAAAGCAACCGCAGGACGUUUGCAAGGAGCAAAGAAAUCUAUGUCAGUAUUUUAACAACCGUUUUUUGCGUGUAUUUUCUGCAGGGCUGGGGUAUGCAAUCAAAGUUUAAACUCUGAGCUUUCUAUGAAAACAAAACAAAACAAAACAAAAACAAAAAAACAGAAAAGAAAAAGAAAAAUCCAAAACCCUCAGGACCUCUCUGUGGCUGGGUCUAUGGACAUGUGUUGUCGGAUAAAUGGUGAUGGCGCCCUCAAGUGGCUAGAAGGCUUCACUGCAUAUUGUCUGUUGAGGCUUUUGUCCUCCGAGAUCAGAGUACUCAAGAGAGACUCCUGACAUCUGUCCUCUCCAGUGUCACAUUUAUGAGCAUCUCCACUGUGCUAGGCCUGUCCCAGGACACUAUAUGACCACACCCUCUCUCAUCGGUGUGUUUCUGUAGCAAGUCUUCAUAUUUGUUUCCAACAAUGGUGUCUCUGCGUUCAUGUUGAAGACAGAGAUGGGGUAAGAAGACUAUCCGUGCAUGAAGUAGAGAACUGUUGGUUUGUUUCUUUUUUUUUUUUUAAAGGAGAAGCUAUUUGUAAGCCACUGCACAAAGACGUUUUAUAUACACUGCAGAGACCUGUAGUAAAUUAUGUUG
rnacentral:lncRNA from 1 species